CGGCAGCCCGAGUGGUAGCCGUUUUUAUUGGGUCUAAAGGGUCCGUAGCCGGCUUGAUAAGUCUUUUGGGAAAUCUGACAGCUUAACUGUCAGGCUUCUAAGGGAUACUGUCAGGCUUGGGACCGGAAGAGGUAAGGGGUACUCCAGGGGUAGGAGUGAAAUCUUGUAAUCCCUGGGGGACCAUCUGUGGCGAAGGCGCCUUACCAGAACGGGUCCGACGGUGAGGGACGAAAGCUAGGGGAGCAAACCGGAUUAGAUACCCGAGUAGUCC
rnacentral:rRNA from 1 species